AUACUUACCUGGCAGGGGAAAUACCAUGAUCACGAAGGUGGUUUUCCCAGGGCGAGGCUUAUCCAUUGCACUCCGGAUGUGCUGACCCCUGCGAUUUCCCCAAAUGUGGGAAACUCGACUGCAUAAUUUGUGGUAGUGGGGGACUGCGUUCGCGCUUUCCCCUG
rnacentral:snRNA from 1 species